AACGAACGCUGGCGGCAUGCCUAACACAUGCAAGUCGAACGAGACCUUCGGGUCUAGUGGCGCACGGGUGCGUAACGCGUGGGAACCUUCCCUUAGGCUUGGAAUAACUCCCCGAAAGGGGGGCUAAUGCAGGAAAAUGUCUUCUGACCACAGAUUGAUCGCACUAGUAUGAGCCGGCGUUGGAUUCGCUGGUUGGUAGGGUAAAAGCCUACCAAGGCGACGAUACACAGCUGGUCUCAGAGAAUGAUCACACACACUUACAGUAAGCCACGGCCCGGAAUCCUGCGGAAGGCAGGAAAGGCGGAUAUAGCACUACGGGCGAAAGCCUGAACCAGCAAUGGUGGGUGAGUCAUGUUGGCCUUAAAGUUGUAAAGCACUUUUACACGCGGUGAUAAUGACAGUACCGGGAGAAUAAGCUCCGGCUAACUCCGUG
rnacentral:rRNA from 1 species